UACGGAGGGUGCAAGCGUUGUUCGGAAUCAUUGGGCGUAAAGCGCGUGUAGGCGGCUUGGCAAGUCAGUUGUGAAAGCCCGGGGCCCAACCCCGGAACUUCAUCUGAAACUGCUUGGCUGGAGUCCCGGAGAGGAAGGCAGAAUUCCCGGUGUAGGGGUGAAAUCCGUAGAUAUCGGGAGGAAUACCAGCGGCGAAGGCGGCCUUCUGGACGGUGACUGACGCUGAGACGCGAAAGCGUGGGGAGCAAACAGG
rnacentral:rRNA from 1 species